rnacentral:rRNA from 1 species
AUUGAACGCUGGCGGCAUGCUUUACACAUGCAAGUCGAACGGAAGCGCGGGCUUCGUCCUGGCGGCGAGUGGCGAACGGGUGAGUAAUACAUCGGAACGUGCCCAGUCGUGGGGAUAGCUCGGCGAAAGCCGGAUUAAUACCGCAUACGACCUGUGGGUGAAAGCGCGGGAUCUUCUGACCUCGCGCUAUUUUAGCGGCCGAUGGCAGAUUAGCUAGUUGGUGGGGUAAAGGCCUACCAAGGCGACGAUCUGUAGCUGGUCUGAGAGGACGACCAGCCACACUGGAACUGAGACACGGCCCAGACUCCUACGGGAGGCAGCAGUGGGGAAUGUUGGGCAAUGGGCGAAAGCCUGACCCAGCAAUGCCGCGUGUGUGAUGAAGGCCUUCGGGUUGUAAAGCACUUUUGGCGGGAAAGAAAAGGACUGUGCGAAUACCACGGUUCGAUGACGGUACCCGAAGAAUAAGCACCGGCUAACUACGUG